rnacentral:rRNA from 1 species
UGCAGACUGCAACCCGCCUGCAUGAAGUUGGAAUCGCUAGUAAUCGCGGAUCAGCAUGCCGCGGUGAAUACGUUCCCGGGCCUUGUACACACCGCCCGUCACACCAUGAGAGUCGGGGACACCCGAAGUCCGUAGUCUAACCGCAAGGGGGACGCGGCCGAAGGUGGAUUCGAUAAUUGGGGUGAAGUCGUAACAAGGUAAC